UUAAGCCAUGCGAGUCGAACGAGUUUAGGCUCGUGGCGUACGGCUCAGUAACACGUGGAUAAUCUACCCUUAGGACUGGGAUAACCUUGGGAAACUGAGGAUAAUACCGGAUAGGCAAUUUUUCCUGUAAUGGUUUUUUGUUUAAAUGUUUUUUUCGCCUAAGGAUGAGUCUGCGGCCGAUUAGGUAGUUGGUUAGGUAAUGGCUUACCAAGCCGUUGAUCGGUACGGGUUGCGAGAGCAAGAGCCCGGAGAUGGAACCUGAGACAAGGUUCCAGGCCCUACGGGGUGCAGCAGGCGCGAAACCUCCGCAAUGUGAGAAAUCGCGACGGGGGGAUCCCAAGUGCCAUUCUUAACGGGAUGGCUUUUCAUUAGUGUAAAGAGCUUUUGGAAUAAGAGCUGGGCAAGACCGGUGCCAGCCGCCGCGGUAACACCGGCAGCUCUAGUGGUAACAAUUUUUAUUGGGCCUAAAGCGUCCGUAGCCGGUUUAAUAAGUCUCUGGUGAAAUCCUGUAGCUUAACUGUGGGAAUUGCUGGAGAUACUAUUAGACUUGAGACCGGGAGAGGUUAGAGGUACUCCCAGGGUAGAGGUGAAAUUCUGUAAUCCUGGGAGGACCGCCUGUUGCGAAGGCGUCUAACUGGAACGGUUCUGACGGUGAGGGACGAAAGUUAGGGGCGCGAACCGGAUUAGAUACCCGGGUAGUCCUAACUGUAAACGAUGCGGACUUGGUGUUGGGGUGGCUUUGAGCUGCUCCAGUGCCGAAGGGAAGCUGUUAAGUCCGCCGCCUGGGAAGUACGGUCGCAAGACUGAAACUUAAAGGAAUUGGCGGGGGAGCACCACAACGCGUGGAGCCUGCGGUUUAAUUGGAUUCAACGCCGGACAUCUCACCAGAGGCGACAGCUGUAUGAUAGCCAGGUUGAUGACUUUGCUUGACUAGCUGAGAGGUGGUGCAUGGCCA
rnacentral:rRNA from 1 species